rnacentral:rRNA from 1 species
UAGGGAAUCUUCGGCAAUGGACGGAAAGUCUGACCGAGCAACGCCGCGUGAGUGAAGAAGGUUUUCGGAUCGUAAAACUCUGUUGGUAGAGAAGAACGUUGGUGAGAGUGGAAAGCUCAUCAAGUGACGGUAACUACCCAGAAAGGGACGGCUAACUACGUGCCCC